GCGGCGUGCCUAAUACAUGCAAGUCGAGCGGACCAAAAUCGGAGCUUGCUCUGGUUUGGUCAGCGGCGGACGGGUGAGUAACACGUGGGCAACCUGCCCGCAAGACCGGGAUAACUCCGGGAAACCGGAGCUAAUACCGGAUAACACCGAAGACCGCAUGGUCUUUGGUUGAAAGGCGGCCUUUGGCUGUCACUUGCGGAUGGGCCCGCGGCGCAUUAACUAGUUGGUGAGGUAACGGCUCACCAAGGCGACGAUGCGUAACCGGCCUGAGAGGGUGACCGGCCACACUGGGACUGAAACACGGCCCAAACUCCUACGGGAGGCAGCAGUAGGGAAUCUUCCGCAAUGGGCGAAAGCCUGACGGAGCGACGCCCCGUGAGCGAAGAAGGCCUUCGGGUCGUAAAGCUCUGUUGUGAGGGACGAAGGGGCGCCGUUCGAAGAGGGCGGCGCGGUGACGGUACCUCACGAAAAAGCCCCGGCUAACUACGUGCCAGCAGCCGCGGUAAUACGUAGGGGGCGAGCGUUGUCCGGAAUUAUUGGGCGUAAAGCGCGCGCAGGCGGUCCCUUAAGUCUUGUGUGAAAGCCCACGGCUCAACCGUGGAGGGUCAUUGGAAACUGGGGGACUUGAGGGCAGGAGAAGAGAACGGAAUUCCACGUGUAGCGGUGAAAUGCGUAGAGAUGUGGAAGAACACCAGUGGCGAAGGCGGCUCUCUGGGCUGCAACCUGACGCUGAAGCGCGAAAGCGUGGGGAGCAAACCAGGAUUAGAUACCUGGUAGUCCACGCCGUAAACGAUGAGUGGCUAAGUGGUAGAGGGGUCACACCCUUUAGUGCUGCAGCUAACGCGAUAAGCACUCCGNUGGGGAAUACGGNNCAAGGCUGAACUCAAAGNANGACGGGGGNCCGCACAAGCGGUGGAGCAU
rnacentral:rRNA from 1 species